rnacentral:rRNA from 1 species
AACAAACGCUGGCGGCGUGCCUAAUACAUGCAAGUCGAACGGGGAAAGCUUUCGGGUGAGUACUAGUGGCGCACGGGUGAGUAAUGCGUGGAUAAUCUGCCUUGAAGAGGGGGAUAACCAGUCGAAAGAUUGGCUAAUACCGCAUAAGACCACAGGAACUGAGGUUCUAGAGGUCAAAGGUUUUUCGCUUCAAGAUGAGUCCGCGUAAGAUUAGCUAGUUGGUGAGGUAACGGCUCACCAAGGCGACGAUCUUUAACUGGUCUGAGAGGAUGAUCAGUCACACUGGAACUGAGACACGGUCCAGACUCCUACGGGAGGCAGCAGUAGGGAAUAUUGCACAAUGGAGGAAACUCUGAUGCAGCGACGCCGCGUGAGUGAUGAAGGCCUUCGGGUCGUAGAGCUCUGUCGCAGGGGAAUAACACAAUGAAGGUACCCUGUAAGAAAGGAUCGGCUAACUUCGUGCCAGCCGCCGCUGUAAAAC